AAUGAACGCUGGCGGCAGGCCUAACACAUGCAAGUCGAGCGGAGCGGCGGACGGGCGAGUAAUGCCUAGGAAUAUGCCUGGUAGUGGGGGAUAACGUCCGGAAACGGGCGCUAAUAUCGCACACUUCCAGAUGAGCCUAGGAUGGAUUAGCUAGUUGGAGGGGUAAAGGCCUACCAAGGCGACGAUCCGUAGCUGGUCUGAGAGGACGAUCAGUAAAACUGGAACUGAGACACGGCCCAGACUCCUACGGGAGGCAGCAGUGGGGAAUAUUGGGCAAUGGGCGAAAGCCUGAUCGAGCCAUGCCGCGUGUGUGAUGAAGGUCUUCGGAUUGUAAAGCUCUGUAAGUUGGGAAGCGUUACCUACUGAGUAAGCACCGGCUAACUUCGUGCCAGCAGCCGCGGUAAUAC
rnacentral:rRNA from 1 species